rnacentral:rRNA from 1 species
UAGCUAGUUGGUGAGGUAACGGCCCACCAAGGCGACGAUCGGUAGCCGGACUGAGAGGUUGAACGGCCACAUUGGGACUGAGACACGGCCCAGACUCCUACGGGAGGCAGCAGUGGGGAAUAUUGCACAAUGGGGGAAACCCUGAUGCAGCGACGCCGCGUGGAGGAAGAAGGUCUUCGGAUUGUAAACUCCUGUUGUUGAGGAAGAUAAUGACGGUACUCAACAAGGAAGUGACGGCUAACUACGUGCCAGCAGCCGCGGUAAAACGUAGGUCACAAGCGUUGUCCGGAAUUACUGGGUGUAAAGGGAGCGCAGGCGGGCGAUCAAGUUGGAAGUGAAAUCCAUGGGCUCAACCCAUGAACUGCUUUCAAAACUGGUCGUCUUGAGUAGUGCAGAGGUAGGCGGAAUUCCCGGUGUAGCGGUGGAAUGCGUAGAUAUCGGGAGGAACACCAGUGGCGAAGGCGGCCUACUGGGCACCAACUGACGCUGAGGCUCGAAAGUGUGGGUAGCAAACAGGAUUAGAUACCCUGGUAGUCCACACCGUAAACGAUGAUUACUAGGUGUUGGGAGAUUGACCCUCUCAGUGCCGCAGUUAACACAAUAAGUAAUCCACCUGGGGAGUACGACCGCAAGGUUGAAACUCAAAGGAAUUGACGGGGGCCCGCACAAGCAGUGGAGUAUGUGGUUUAAUUCGACGCAUCGCGAAGAACCUUACCAAGUCUUGACAUCCCUUGACGAUGCUGGAAACAGUAUUUCUCUUCGGAGCAAGGAGACAGGUGGUGCAUGGUUGUCGUCAGCUCGUGUCGUGAGAUGUUGGGUUAAGUCCCGCAACGAGCGCAACCCUUAUGGUCAGUUACUACGCAAGAGGACUCUGGCCAGACUGCCGUUGACAAAACGGAGGAAGGUGGGGAUGACGUCAAAUCAUCAUGCCCUUUAUGACUUGGGCUACACACGUACUACAAUGGCGUUAAACAAAGAGAAGCAAGACCGCGAGGUGGAGCAAAACUCAGAAACAACGUCCCAGUUCGGACUGCAGGCUGCAACUCGCCUGCACGAAGUCGGAAUUGCUAGUAAUCGUGGAUCAGCAUGCCACGGUGAAUACGUUCCCGGGCCUUGUACACACCGCCCGUCACACCAUGAGAGCCGGGGGGACCCGAAGUCGGUAGUCUAACCGCAAGGAGGACGCCGCCGAAGGUAAAACUGGUGAUUGGGGUGAAGUCGUAACAAGGUAGCCGUAGGAGGACCUGCGACUG